UGUGCUCACAGUUCAAUGUCUCUAGAUUAUAGGCGUUAUGAGGACAGAGUACUGGUUUACAGUACAAAAUUCCUGGGACAUAGAACACUGCCCAGCACAAAUAAUGAUUUGAUCAAUAAUUGUUGAAGGAAUAGACUAAAUGAAGGAACUGACAACUCAAGGGAAAGAGUAAUGACUCCAUGAAAGAGCCAAAAAAGAAGAAAAAAAGUGUUAUGUUGCUAGCUUGCCAGAUGAGGAGGAAAACAAAUGGUAUUCCAACUCAACGAAUGAGGAAACAAAACCUCAGAGAGGUUAAUGACUACAUAUAGAUCUAGACCUGUGUGACCUUCCCAACACCCAGGAGAGACAGACACAGUCACAUCCCCACUUACAGAUGAAGACUUCAAGACGCAGAGCGGUGGAGGGACUUGCCCGAGUCCUGGAGCUGGGAGAACUCCCGAGACCCUGGGAUGGUGGCAUGGCCCCUGCACCUCCGCUGCCUCCCCCAUGGUGAAAGUACAGCACAGGCGGGGCUGCGAGAGAGCAGCGGAGAGAUUAUGCAGUAGCUAUCUUUGGAGGCGUCACUGCCCACGGUGUUUUUAGGAUGAAUAAUUGCUUGAAUUCCUCAAGGCUUUAUAAAUAGAUGGAGAGGAUGCUGCGGGGUUGGGAGUGACGCCCAGCAAGAACUGCAGAGUCGGCAGCCCCAAGGACCUGUCCUCCACAGAAACACGCACACAAAGAUAAGCAAAAGCCGUCAGAAUCAACUUUGUGGAACUCUGGGAAAUAAUCAAAGAUUUACAGCAAGCAAGCAAAAAAAAGUGCACUAAUGACUUAAAUACAGCAUUUGUGGAAAUCUCAGUCAAACCUCUAGCUGACCAUGAGCUACAGGACCAGGGACUUCAGAGAACACACAUUGAUGAAGAAUAUAGUCUUCAACUAGAGUGCCUCCUAAUGUUGGCUUUGUUGGAAGCUGGGCCAACAGUAUUUGCUAGUUUGCUUUGUGGUCAGCUAUGCCUUUUCAUUGGCUUAAUGAGAAGCCAGGACUC
rnacentral:lncRNA from 1 species